rnacentral:rRNA from 1 species
AUGAUCAUGCAAAGCAAUAUGACAAUAAUGGAGCGUGUCAUAAUAAACGGAAUGAUGGAAAGUUGCAUGAUCAAGCGGAUGGUGAAUGCAUGUCCGCGGCUUGAAGUGAUCAAACGAUCCGUUUGCAUUGAGGGUGCCCGCCGGACCUUUGCCCGUGCGAAGGUGCAUUGGGGCAAGCUGGAUGCGGAGAAGCUGGUGAAGGACGGGCCGCUGGAGGGCAAGGCGCAUCGCUGUCCCGAGAGAUAUUAUGAAGGCGUUAUGAAGGGCGCUCGUCUUGUGGCCGAUGAAUGUACCAAGGACACAAUUUUAGAGAAUUCACUUAUGUCAUGUUUGUAA